rnacentral:rRNA from 1 species
AUUGAACGCUGGCGGCAUGCCUUACACAUGCAAGUCGAACGGCAGCACGGGAGCAAUCCUGGUGGCGAGUGGCGAACGGGUGAGUAAUAUAUCGGAACGUGCCCAGUAGUGGGGGAUAGCCCGGCGAAAGCCGGAUUAAUACCGCAUGAGACCUGAGGGUGAAAGCGGGGGAUCGCAAGACCUCGCGCUAUUGGAGCGGCCGAUAUCAGAUUAGCUAGUUGGUGGGGUAAAGGCCCACCAAGGCAACGAUCUGUAGUUGGUCUGAGAGGACGACCAGCCACACUGGGACUGAGACACGGCCCAGACUCCUACGGGAGGCAGCAGUGGGGAAUUUUGGACAAUGGGCGCAAGCCUGAUCCAGCAAUGCCGCGUGCAGGAAGAAGGCCUUCGGGUUGUAAACUGCUUUUGUCAGGGAAGAAAUCCUCUGGGCUAAUACCUCGGGGGGAUGACGGUACCUGAAGAAUAAGCACCGGCUAACUACGUGCCAGCAGCCGCCGUAAUAC